rnacentral:rRNA from 1 species
GGAGGGUGCAAGUGUUAUCCGGAUUUAUUGGGUUUAAAGGGUACGUAGGCGGCAGGGUAAGUCAGUGGUGAAAGCCAGCAGCUCAACUGUUGAAUUGCCAUUGAUACUGCUUUGCUUGAGUGCAGUCGAGGUAGGCGGAAUUCUGCAUGUAGCGGUGAAAUGCAUAGAUAUGUGGAGGAACGCCGAUAACGAAGGUAGCUUACUAGGCUGUUACUGACGCUGAGGUACGAAAGCGUGGGGAGCGAACGGGAUUAGAGACCCCGGUAGUCCACGCCGUAAACCGAUGGUCACUCGAUAUAUAUUCUUCGGAGUAUGUGUCUAAGCGAAAGCGUUAAGUGACCCCACCUGGGAGUACGCUCGCAAGAGUG